UAGAGUUUGAUCCUGGCUCAGAUUGAACGCUGGCGGCAUGCUUUACACAUGCAAGUCGAACGGCAGCGCGGGGCAACCUGGCGGCGAGUGGCGAACGGGUGAGUAAUACAUCGGAACGUACCCAGAAGUGGGGGAUAACGUAGCGAAAGUUACGCUAAUACCGCAUACGUUCUACGGAAGAAAGUGGGGGAUCGCAAGACCUCAUGCUUUUGGAGCGGCCGAUGUCUGAUUAGCUAGUUGGUGAGGUAAAGGCUCACCAAGGCGACGAUCAGUAGCUGGUCUGAGAGGACGACCAGCCACACUGGGACUGAGACACGGCCCAGACUCCUACGGGAGGCAGCAGUGGGGAAUUUUGGACAAUGGGCGCAAGCCUGAUCCAGCAAUGCCGCGUGAGUGAAGAAGGCCUUCGGGUUGUAAAGCUCUUUUG
rnacentral:rRNA from 1 species